ACGCAGCAACAGCGGCCGCCUCC
rnacentral:miRNA from 1 species